rnacentral:piRNA from 1 species
UAGUUCUUCUCUGUAACUUGGUUGAUA